GUCUUUUUGAUUUUAAUUUAAGGUCAAAUCUGCCCACUGAUUUAUAUUAAAGGGCUGCAGUAUAUUGACUGUACAAAGGUAGCAUAAUAAAUAGUCUUUUAAUUGAAGACUUGUAUGAAAGAUUUGAUGAGAUAUAAACUGUCUCUUUUUUAUAUUUAGAAUUUAAUUUUUUAGUAAAAAAGCUAAAAUUAAUUUAAAAGACGAGAAGACCCUAUAGAGUUUUAUAAUUAAUUUAUUUAUAUAUUUAUAUUUAUAAUUUAAAAUUUAAUUAAUUUAAUUAUUUUGUUGGGGUGAUAGAAAAAUAUAUUAAACUUUUUUUAAAAAAUUACAUUAAUUAAUGAAUAAAUGAUCCAUAAAUUAUGAUUAAAAGAAAAAAUUACCUUAGGGAUAACAGCGUAAUUUUUUUUUUUAGUUCUUAUAGGAAAAAGAGUUUGCGACCUCGAUGUUGGAUUAAGAUAAAAUUUAAAUGUAGAAGUUUAAAAUUUUGAUCUGUUCGAUCAUUAAAAUCUUACA
rnacentral:rRNA from 1 species